rnacentral:lncRNA from 1 species
UCGGGGAGGUCGGGUGCAGCCUGAGCGGCGGAGACGGGCUCGGCGGAGGCGUCGGGGGUCUGACGGACGCUCCGGCCAAGCGGCGGGCGCGGCGAAGGCGGCGGCGAGCGGAGGAGCGGCACGAACUAGCGCUGCACAAGCAUUAAAUGAAUUUCCAAAACUAGCAAUAUAGGUACAAUUUAAUAAUGUAAAUAAGAUAU